rnacentral:lncRNA from 1 species
GCGCAGGUUCCGAUUUCCCGAGAGAUGGCAAAGGCCCUGGCAGGAAGUUUACAGGGUUUAACGUAAACAAGUUCUGGGGGAUUCUUUAAUAAUAAUAAUAGAGAAUUCCGCGUGCGCAGGGCGGGAGGGGGGAGUUGGCCUAAUGCCCCUGUGGGCUCGGCCUGCCGCCGCCGCGGGGCCUCUGACACUGCGCGCCAGGCCAGGUUCCUGAGAGCAGACAGCGCGGGCUGGGAGCGCCGGCAAGGGCGGCCCUCGCGCACCUGGCUGCCAGCCCGCAGGGGGCUCGCACGCAGACCUGCCCUUGCCACCUCAGCGCUCGGGUGCGGGCUGGGGGCGGUGGAGCCACGAAAGGUGGUGCCGAGAGCGGAGCGCAGGACAGCGCAGGAGCCCCGGCGCAUCGCGGCGCGCACAGACCCAGAGGAUUUGUGAAGAGGUGACCCAAAUUUCAAGACAAUGUUGGAUGCAAACGGAUUUGCCAGCAACUGCAUCACUGUCAAAACCAGCUCUGCCCGUGUCUUCCGAAGAUACCAAGUGAAAUACAUGUAGAUGGGAUUUACAUCUGAAAAACCAAGGCAAGAGGCCAUGGGAAGGGACGGAGGUGGAACAGGACUGGACAGAAGCUGAUAAAUGGUUGUUGCUGAGUACUGGGCAGAUAGGGGUUGGUUAUCCUAUUGUCUUUACUUUCAUAUAUUUUAUUUUUUCUGUAAUAAAACAAAUUAAAAUCACCUGUCGUGACCUCACAGGGGCCAGUGUGGGUUGUGGCGUGAGGCAGGAAGCUCUGCAGAGUUCCUUGGUCAAAAGGAUUAAUUACAAAAGAACUCCAUGAACACCGAGAAGAAGAGAAGGGAAUCCUGGCAUUUAAAGCCACAAAGAAACUUGAUAUGGUCUUGUCUCCUUCUCUCAAUUGACAGUGAGAAACUGAAGACCAGAGAGGGUGAGUGGUUUACUCAGUUUGGCACAACUGACCCCAACCUAGCCCUCCAUGAGGACUGAGCGCAUGAGAGAUCCUGAGCCACAGCCGCCCAGCCCUGCUCCUCUCGAAUUUCUGACCUACAGGAACUGCAAGAAGUAAUGAAAGACUGCUGUUUAAAGCCACUGCAUUUUGGCAUGAUUUGUUAUGCAGUCGUAGAUAACCAGAAAACAUCGGAUUUACAUUUUAAGGAAACAGAGAAGCAAAGAAGUUAGCAAGCUUGUUUUGGCAGAAGAAAAAACACAAAAUACCCAACCACAGAUCCUCAAAAAUAUUGCUAAGCACUAAUUUUGCUAACAUGUUAGACAGCCUUCGGAUCUAGGCAAUCUUGUUCCUCAGCUGGAAAGAGUUCCUGCCAGCCAUGUGAUUCCAAAUCCACCCUGGACAUAUGGGGAUAAUGAGAAAAUCAGCUCCGGCCUUCCCUGGCCUUCCAGCCAAGUGAAUGGGGGCAUCCCCUGGUGCUUCAGCCCGGGGCCCACCCAGAGGAUGCUAGCUGGCCUGCAGAGGCCUCAACCAUGCCCUCCUGGACUCAGGUAAGACUGAGGUUUCCAUGCCCUCAAAACAAUUGUUCAGACAAAAACUCACUGCCCAGGUCAAAGUCACAGCACCAGAAAGCCAACCUGAGGAUGAAGACAAAGCUCUUUGUUGGCACAGUCCCCUGAUCAUUCGAGGUCAGCAUCUCCAUCAAAAUGGACCCAAUGCUGAGGCAAGAAGGAGAACAUCACUGUUAAGAAGGUAAUGAGUCACAAAUGCUAUUUCGAUGGUUUUCUUUGAAAGAAAUACACAGAACCAAACCAAUUUUAAUUAAAGAUCUUGUCUUUGUAAUCAGGCAGCCACAAAUGAAGGCAAAACUGCUUUCAUGUGGCAUAAUAUACACAGAGCUGAACUAGUUUUCCCAUAAAAGGGCAGGUUCUUUUCUUCAAAUAAGAAAAGAGUUUGUUCCUAACAAUAUGGGGGAUGCAACAGAAAGCUGUCUUUUGCAAAGUAUAAAAUUGCAGAUCCUCCCGUGGAAGCCAUUUCUUGAUGCUAAACCAAUGCGAACGUUUGCCAAACGCACAUGCGAGCCGGGAUUAUCCUACCCUUUGAGAUUAGACAUGUGAUCCUGAUUUUUAAGUGAAAAACGCAGCCAGAGGCCAAAUAAACAUACCUACAAGUACAUCGAAAGCUCAAAUGGUUGAGAAAUGAUUGUAACACACCCCGGUGUGUAUUUCUGAGGAAGAAUCAACAUGCACAUGGAAAUUGAUGUUUUGAUUUUUAAUUUUAAAACGACGACAGAACUGAAAUACCUCCCCUAACUAGGUCCACUGAAACCAGUGAGGAGAUAAUCAUUUUCAGUUAAAUAUGCAUGUAAUUUAAUAAUCCACAGAUGGAAAAUGCAUUUGAGGUGGACUGAACACAGCCAGGAGUUUUUGCUUAUCGACAGCACUGAAUCCUGCCUUGACUAGAGAGACUCGUCAUGUGAUCAACUGUGGCCAGAGGGCAUCCUGCAGACAGCUCCUGUCACACCACACUGACCAGACUCUUAUGAGUAUUUAAGCAUCUUCAGGGAAGCGAUUGACUGUCUUAUAAUGGUCUUACAAGUACGGAACUUUAUUACCUGCUAAUAAUCAGAGCACAUGAUGGCACAAUAGAAUAUACGAGUGAAGUUCUAAAUGCAAGGUUGUUCUUAUUCUGUGAGUGGCAAAACUCAUGCAGUGAGCAGAUAAAGCUGGCAGGAGGCAUUGGCGCCCUAAUGCUGGGCACUAACCACCUGCCCGGACUGCGAAUAUCUGUUGGGUCCUUUCUAUAUCUGGUCUAUUCUCGUGUUUGAUUAUAUCCUGGUGGCAAGAAUAGCAAAAUCAACUCUCCUUCCUAUCCCAUGUGGAGAGGCAUGAUUUGAGUCAGAGAGCAUUAUCCUCUCUGCGUUAUCCAACCCCAUGUCCCAUGAUGCACUUUGUAGACAAGCAAGUGUCCCUGGUGGAGAAUCCACAGCCACACAUCCUCAUUGGUUGCAAGGAUCAGUGUCCAAUAUCUACUGCCAUGAUCAUUCUCAGUUUUACAUCCACAGAGCUUCAUAGAAUUCUAACACCACAGGUCCAAGUAGAGGUUUUGGCCUCAGAGUGGGCUAGAUUCCACCUCUGACAGCAGCUGUGGGACUGUUUUUCCAUCUGUAAAAUGGAGACAAGAGUAUCACCUACCUCAUGGUGUUGGUGGGAUCGUUAAACAGAAUUCCGAUCAUGAAACCCUUAGCCUGCUCCCUGCAUAGGCUGCAUGCGCUCAGUGAGCUAUGGCUCUGUUUCAUGCUGACUUUACCAUCAUGUAAGCAGUUUUAAAAAUGCUAGAAGCUUUAGUCAUAGAAUUACCAUAUGAUACAGCCUACUGCAGAGUCCAGAGGCUGAGGCAGGAGAGUUACUUGAACCUGGGAGGCGGAGGUUGCAGUGAGCCAAGAUCGCGCCACUGCACUCCAGCCUGGGCAACAGAGUGAGAUUCUGUCUCAACACAAAAAAGAAGACAUGUGUCCCCAUCACAGUAUCAUACAGAGUGCUUCCACUGCCCUAAAAUACCCUGUGCUCUUCCUAUUCAUCCCUCUCUUCAACCCCAGCAACCACUGAUCCUUUUACCAUCUCCAUGGUUUUGCCUUUCCCAGAAUGUCAUAUUGUUGGAAUCAUACGCUAUGUAGCCUUUGCAAAUGGGCUUCUUUCACCGAGCAAUGUGCAUUGAAGGUGCCUCUAUGACUUUUCAAGGGUUGAUAGCUCAUUCCUUUUUAUUGCUAAAUAAUAUUCCAUUGUCUGAAUGUACCACAUUUUGUUUAUCCAUUCACCUACUAAAGGACAUCUUGGUUGCUUCCAAGUUUGGGCAAUUAUAAAUAAAACUGCUAUAAACAUUGUGUGCAGGUUUUUUUUUCUAGAUGUCAGUUUUUAACUCAUUUGGACUAUAGAGCACUAUUGCUGGAUCAUAUGAUACGUGUGUGUUUAGUUUUAUGAGAAACUGCCAAACUGUCUUCCAAAGUGGCUGCACCAUUUUGCAUUCCCACCGUCAAUGAAUGAGAGCUCCGGUUGUUCCACAUCCUCACCAGCAUUUGGUGUUGUCAUUGUUUUGGAUUUUAGCCAUUUCAUAGGUGUGUAGAGGUAGCUCAUUGUUUUAAUCUAAUAAACAUCUUAUUGAAGAAUAACACACAAGCAGAAAAUUUCAGAGAUACAAACGAACAGCUUUUUCAACCAUCACCCACUGGAUACAGUUCUGUAUCCAGCACCCAGGCCAAGAAACUGACACUAACGGUGCCCUGUGCCC